GAUGAACGCUGGCGGCAUGCCUAAUACAUGCAAGUCGAACGAGAGGAAGGAAAGCUUGCUUUUCUGAAUCUAGUGGCGAACGGGUGAGUAACACGUAGGUAACCUGCCCAUGUGCCCGGGAUAACUUCUGGAAACGGAUGCUAAAACCGGAUAGGUAGCAGACAAGCAUUUGACUGCUAUUAAAGUGGCUAAGGCCAUGAACAUGGAUGGACCUGCGGUGCAUUAGCUAGUUGGUGAGGUAACGGCCCACCAAGGCGACGAUGCAUAGCCGGCCUGAGAGGGCGGACGGCCACAGUGGGACUGAGACACGGCCCAAACUCCUACGGGAGGCAGCAGUAGGGAAUUUUCGUCAAUGGGGGGAACCCUGAACGAGCAAUGCCGCGUGAGUGAGGAAGGUCUUCGGAUCGUAAAGCCCUGUUGUAAGAGAAAAACGACAUUCAUAGGGAAUGAUGAGUGAGUGAUGGUAUCUUACCAGAAAGUCACGGCUAACUACGUGCCAGCAGCCGCCGUAAAAC
rnacentral:rRNA from 1 species